rnacentral:rRNA from 1 species
AAGCCUACGGGGGGCAGCAGUGAGGAAUAUUGGUCAAUGGGCGAGAGCCUGAACCAGCCAAGUCGCGUGAAGGAUGACGGCCCUAUGGGUUGUAAACUUCUUUUGUCAGGGAGCAAUUGGGUCCACGCGUGGGCUUAGCGAGAGUACCUGAAGAAAAAGCAUUGGCUAACUCCGUGCCAGCAGCCGCGGUAAUACGGAGGAUGCGAGCGUUAUCCGGAUUUAUUGGGUUUAAAGGGUGCGCAGGCGGAUUUUUAAGUCAGCGGUCAAAUCGUGGGGCUCAACCCCAUCCAGCCGUUGAAACUGGG